rnacentral:rRNA from 1 species
CAAAUGUUCAAGUUAUAUAUUUAGGUUAAAAGGUGGUUAAAUUUAAUUUUGAAACCAUAAAAUUUUAUAUAUAAAAGUAAAAUUUGAAUAUAUAAAUAAACUCUUUUUAUGGUUAACAUAUUGAAUCCGCGAAAGUUUUGAGGGAAACUGGGAUUAGAUACCCCAUUAUUCUUAACAGUAAAAUUUAUAUUGUAAUAUUUACCUGAGGACUAUGAAUGAUUUACUAAAUUUAAAACUCAAAGGGCUUGGCGGUGUUCUAGACUUUUUAGGGGAACCUGUCUCGUAAUCGACAAUCCGCGUUAAACCUAACCUUAGUUUGUAAUAUCAGUAUGUAUACCGUCGUCGGCAGGUAACUUUUAAGAAAAGAAUAGUUAGCAAAUUAAUAAUAGUAUAUUAGGACGUCAGAUCAAGGUGCAGCUAAUACUAGGGUGAGGAUGGGUUACAAUUAACAAUUAUAACUCGAGUAAAAAGAUGAAAUCUUUUUUGAAGGAGGACUUAAUAUUAAGGUAAAAGUAGAUAAAUUUAUUGAAUAUAGCUCUGGAACGUGCACACAU